AAAAAGUUAUUGAAUAUAUUAGGAGUGGUGAAAAUGUGUUAUAAUUAAUAUUGAGAGUUGUGAGAAAGUGAAAAAGUGAAAAGUAAGCAAUUAUAAGUGGUGGACUGGGGUAUAAUUCAAAAAUAGGUAGGAAAUUUUUUUGUGGACGUUCCAAAAAAGAAAGAUAGGAAGUUCUUUCGUGGACGCAGGGAGUAAAAAUUUAUAUUUUUAAAUAUUUUUUUUCUUUUCUCUCAUUUUUUUUAAAAGAGAAUUUUAUUAUAUUUUGUUCCUUGUUUCCACUUCAAAAAAGAGAUAAUAUUGUCACCCUGUUUUUUGUGUGAUAA
rnacentral:lncRNA from 1 species